UGGGGAAUAUUGGACAAUGGGCGAAAGCCUGAUCCAGCAAUGCCGCGUGAGUGAUGAAGGCCUUAGGGUUGUAAAGCUCUUUUACCAGGGAUGAUAAUGACAGUACCUGGAGAAUAAGCUCCGGCUAACUCCGUGCCAG
rnacentral:rRNA from 1 species